UGAGGAAUAUUGGGCAAUGCCCGCAAGGGUGACCCAGCAACGCCGCGUGGAGGAUGAAUGUCGUAAGAUUGUAAACUCCUGUUAGAGGGGAAGAAUAGUACCGGUUGGACCGGUAUAUGACUGUACCCUCAGAGAAAGCCCCGGCUAACUACGUGCCAGCAGCCGCGGUAAUACGGAGGGUGCAAGCGUUAUCCGGAUUCACUGGGUUUAAAGGGUGCGUAGGCGGAUAUGUAAGUCAGUGGUGAAAUCAACGGGCUCAACCUGUUAACUGCCAUUGAUACUGUGUAUCUUGAAUAUGAGAGAGGUAGGCGGAAUGUUGCAUGUAGCGGUGAAAUGCUUAGAUAUGCUACGGAACACCGAUUGCGAAGGCAGCUUACUAUUUCGUAAUUGACGCUGAGGCACGAAAGCGUGGGUAGCGAAC
rnacentral:rRNA from 1 species